GCGCCGUAUUAGCUAGUUGGUGGGGUAACGGCCUACCAAGGCGACGAUACGUAGCCGACCUGAGAGGGUGAUCGGCCACACUGGAACUGAGACACGGUCCAGACUCCUACGGGAGGCAGCAGUAGGGAAUCUUCCGCAAUGGGCGAAAGCCUGACGGAGCAACGCCGCGUGAGUGAUGAAGGUCUUCGGAUCGUAAAGCUCUGUUGUUAGGGAAGAACAAAUGUGUAAGUAACUGUGCACAUCUUGACGGUACCUAACCAGAAAGCCACGGCUAACUACGUGCCAGCAGCCGCGGUAAUACGUAGGUGGCAAGCGUUAUCCGGAAUUAUUGGGCGUAAAGCGCGCGUAGGCGGUUUUUUAAGUCUGAUGUGAAAGCCCACGGCUCAACCGUGGAGGGUCAUUGGAAACUGGAAAACUUGAGUGCAGAAGAGGAAAGUGGAAUUCCAUGUGUAGCGGUGAAAUGCGCAGAGAUAUGGAGGAACACCAGUGGCGAAGGCGGCUUUCUGGUCUGCAACUGACGCUGAUGUGCGAAAGCGUGGGGAUCAAACAGGAUUAGAUACCCUGGUAGUCCACGCCGUAAACGA
rnacentral:rRNA from 1 species